ACUCCUACGGGAGGCAGCAGUGGGGAAUAUUGCACAAUGGGGGAAACCCUGAUGCAGCCAUGCCGCGUGUGUGAAGAAGGGCCUUCGGGUUUGAUAAGCACUUUCAGUAGGGAGGAAGGUAGUGUAGUUAACACUUGCACUAUUUGACGUUACCUACAGAAGAAGCACCGGCUAACUCCGUGCCAGCAGCCGCGGUAAUACGGAGGGUGCGAGCGUUAAUCGGAAUUACUGGGCGUAAAGCGCAUGCAGGCGGCCUGUUAAGUCAGAUGUGAAAGCCCGGGGCUUAACCUCGGAAUUGCAUUUGAAACUGGCAGGCUAGAGUCUUGUAGAGGGGGGUAGAAUUUCAGGGUGUAGCGGUGAAAUGCGUAGAGAUCUGAAGGAAUACCAGUGGCGAAGGCGGCCCCCUGGACAAAAGACUGA
rnacentral:rRNA from 1 species